rnacentral:rRNA from 1 species
UAUGGACGAGAGUCUGAACCAGCCAAGUAGCGUGAAGGAUGACUGCCCUAUGGGUUGUAAACUUCUUUUAUACGGGAAUAAAGUGAGGCACGUGUGCCUUUUUGUAUGUACCGUAUGAAUAAGGAUCGGCUAACUCCGUGCCAGCAGCCGCGGUAAUACGGAGGAUCCGAGCGUUAUCCGGAUUUAUUGGGUUUAAAGGGAGCGUAGGCGGACGCUUAAGUCAGUUGUGAAAGUUUGCGGCUCAACCGUAAAAUUGCAGUUGAUACUGGGUGUCUUGAGUACAGUAGAGGCAGGCGGAAUUCGUGGUGUAGCGGUGAAAUGCUUAGAUAUCACGAAGAACUCCGAUUGCGAAGGCAGCCUGCUGGACUGUAACUGACGCUGAUGCUCGAAAGUGUGGGUAUCAAACAGGAUUAGAUACCCUGGUAGUCCAAGGGCGAAUUC